UACGUAGGGGGCAAGCGUUGUUCGGAAUCACUGGGCUUAAAGGGCGCGUAGGCGGGUUCUCAAGUCAGGGGUGAAAUCUUUCAGCUCAACUGGAAAAGUGCCCCUGAUACUGAGAGUCUCGAGGGAGGUAGGGGCAUGUGGAACUAAUGGUGGAGCGGUGAAAUUCGUAGAUAUUCGCAAGAACACCAGUGGCGAAGGCGGCUCACUGGCCCGAUACUGACGCUGAGGCACGAAAGCGAUGGGGAGGCAAAUAGGG
rnacentral:rRNA from 1 species